AUGAAGCACAAAACGAAGCACCCGCAAAUAGAGGCAACCAGUGCCCCGGGUGCUCUGUACGCCGAUCGAUGCACUUGUGGCCGAGCAGAGGAGGAAACAAGGGCCUCCAGGAGUAGCAUGGAGUGGCCUGCGAGGUCGGCCGUGGUGAUGGUGGUGCAACGUAGAGGAGGGUCAUGGCAGCUGCAAGCAAGCAGGCAUGGAGGCGAAGCAGGAGAGGUCGCUGGCGGUUUGAGGUGGUCAUUGGGCACGCAAGCACGACGAGCAGGGGCACCCUCGGGUUGUGCAGAAGAGGAGGCCGGAGCAAGGCAAGGAGGGCGACAUGGACGGCGCAGAGUUGAGGCACGGGGCGGAGAUGAUGGAGUAGAGGAACCGGUGAAGCAGCAGAGGAAAAACGGGAGCAGAGGAGCGACCGAGCCAGUGGCUGGGUGCUUCGUGGCGGCGCCAUGGCGGGGCUCGGGAAGACCAUGGCGCUCAGGGAAAACAUGGAGCUCCUGUUGGUGGCGACGAAGAGAGGCGGCGGCUCUCCUGAUAGUUGACGAAGAGGAGGAAGGCGGGGAAUGGAGCAGCCAGCAACGGCUCCAGUGGCCGGCGCAGUCCAGGGAGGAGGCGAACAGGGAGGGCGAGGGGAUCGGGAAGGACGAGGGGUGGCGGCACUAG
rnacentral:rRNA from 1 species